rnacentral:rRNA from 1 species
AGGGGCAGCACGAAUGUAGCAAUACAUUGGUGGCGACCGGCGCACGGGUGAGUAACGCGUAUGCAACCUACCUAUCAGAGGGGAAUAACCCGGCGAAAGUCGGACUAAUACCGCAUAAAACAGGGGUUCCACAUGGAAAUAUUUGUUAAAGAAUUAUCGCUGAUAGAUGGGCAUGCGUUCCAUUAGAUAGUUGGUGAGGUAACGGCUCACCAAGUCCACGAUGGAUAGGGGUUCUGAGAGGAAGGUCCCCCACACUGGUACUGAGACACGGACCAGACUCCUACGGGAGGCAGCAGUGAGGAAUAUUGGUCAAUGGGCGAGAGCCUGAACCAGCCAAGUCGCGUGAAGGAUGAAGGAUCUAUGGUUUGUAAACUUCUUUUAUAUGGGAAUAAAGUGAGGAACGUGUUCCUUUUUGUAUGUACCAUAUGAAUAAGCAUCGGCUAACUCCGUGCCAGCAGCCGCGGUAAUACGGAGGAUGCGAGCGUUAUCCGGAUUUAUUGGGUUUAAAGGGUGCGUAGGUGGUUAAUUAAGUCAGCGGUGAAAGUUUGUGGCUCAACCAUAAAAUUGCCGUUGAAACUGGUUGACUUGAGUAUAUUUGAGGUAGGCGGAAUGCGUGGUGUAGCGGUGAAAUGCAUAGAUAUCACGCAGAACUCCGAUUGCGAAGGCAGCUUACUAAACUAUAACUGACACUGAAGCACGAAAGCGUGGGGAUCAAACAGG